rnacentral:rRNA from 1 species
AUUGAACGCUGGCGGCAGGCCUAACACAUGCAAGUCGAAUGGUAACAGGAAACAGCUUGCUGUUUCGCUGACGAGUGGCGGACGGGUGAGUAAUGUCUGGGAAACUGCCUGAUGGAGGGGGAUAACUACUGGAAACGGUAGCUAAUACCGCAUAACGUCGCAAGACCAAAGAGGGGGACCUUCGGGCCUCUUGCCAUCAGAUGUGCCCAGAUGGGAUUAGAUAGUAGGUGGGGUAACGGCUCACCUAGGGGACGAUCCCUAGCUGGUCUGAGAGGAUGACCGGCCAACUUAGAACGGAGACACGGUCCAUCAUACUACGGGAGGCAGCAGUGAGGAAGAUUGCAAAAUGGGGGAAAGCUUGAUGAAGCAAUGCCGCGUGUAUGAAAAAGGCAUUCGGGUUGUAAAGAACUUUCAGCGGGGAGGAAGGGAGUAAAAUUAAUACCUUUGCUCAUUGACGUAACCCGCAGAAGAAGCUCCGGCUAGCUCCGUG